AAAAUAAAUUAUUGCCAUUCAUUAUAAAUAAAUUUCUAUCAAAAGUAAGGUUCAAAGAACUUUUUAUAUUAUUCAUAUUAACAAUAACAACGUACACACAUGUUGGCGUAUGAAUACACAACGUCCGAGUGGGCGUGUCGCCAUCAAAAUUGACAACAUUGAAAAUAAAACUAAUAAUUUUAACCAAUCAGGAGACAGUAAACACACC
rnacentral:lncRNA from 1 species